CAUGAUCUUUCGACCAAAGGAUUUAUUCGCUGAAGGAUGGCCUCGCGUCCGAUUAGGCAGUUGGUGAGGUAACGGCCCACCAAACCUACGAUCGGUAGCCGAACUGAGAGGUUGAUCGGCCACAUUGGGACUGAGACACGGCCCAGACUCCUACGGGAGGCAGCAGUGGGGAAUAUUGGGCAAUGGGCGAAAGCCUGACCCAGCAACGCCGCGUGAAGGAUGACGGUCUUCGGAUUGUAAACUUCUUUGAUUGGGGAAGAACAAAAUGACCUACCCAAAGAACAAGUCACGGCUAACUACGUGCCAGCAGCCGCGGUAAUACGUAGGUGACAAGCGUUAUCCGGAUUUACUGGGCGUAAAGGGCGUGUAGGCGGCUUUGCAAGUCAGAAGUGAAAUUCUCGGGCUCAACCCGGGCGCUGCUUCUGAAACUGUAGAGCUUAAGUGCUGGAGGGGAUAGCGGAAUUCCUAGUGGAGCGGUAAAAUGCGUAGAUAUUAGGAAGAACACCGGUGGCGAAGGCGGCUAUCUGGACAGUAACUGACGCUGAGGCGCGAAAGCGUGGGGAGCAAACAGGAUUAGAUA
rnacentral:rRNA from 1 species